CCGCGGGACUCCAGUAAGUUCCCCCUUACGAUAGGGGCAGGAGAUCCGCGGAGAAGCUCCUCCCGCCCGACGCAUUUGACUCUCGCCCGUAAGGACGCCGCAGCCGGUCGGGCAGCGCAAGCGGGACGGCCUGAAGGUCGCAAUAGGGCAGGUGACCGGUGGUUGCGGUUCUCGUCUCCGCCGGUUGUUAGCCGUUGCGUCAGUGGCUCGUCGCUCGACCGAGGAAUCUGAGGCCCCCGAUACUGGGGCUCUCCCGUCUCCUCCUCCGUACUCGGAAGGCGGGACAGACCGUCGCAAGCGAAGGCAGCCGUACCGCCGCACUCCCCACGAGUGGGCGGACGAUAAAGUCGGCGCCGGUUGCGACGGCGGACCCGUAGGAGGCUGGAGGCUGGCGGCGAGUAGGUCGGUAACCCACCCGACCCGUCUUGAAACACGGACCAAGGAGUCUAACAUGUGCGCGAGUCAAUGGGUCUCGAAGAAGCCCAGAGGCGAAAUGAAAGCAAAGGUCCCGGCAGACGUCGGGGCCGAGUUGGGAUCCCCCGCUUCACUGCGGGGGCGCACCAGCGACCCGUCCCGAGCGGCUCGCCGCUGGGGCGGAGUUUGAGCGCACACGUUGGUACCCGAAAGAUGGUGAACUAUGCCCGGACAGGACGAGGCCAGAG
rnacentral:rRNA from 1 species